GCCGUCUAAUACCGGAUACGACCGGCCACCUCAUGGUAGCCGGUGGAAAGUUUUUCGGUUGGGGAUGGGCUCGCGGCCUAUCAGCUUGUUGGUGGGGUAAAGGCCUACCAAGGCGAUUACGGGUAGCCGGCCUGAGAGGGCGACCGGCCACACUGGGACUGAGACACGGCCCAGACUCCUGCGGGAGGCAGCAGUGGGGAAUAUUGCGCAAUGGGCGAAAGCCUGACGCAGCGACGCCGCGUGGGGGAUGACGGCCUUCGGGUUGUAAACCUCUUUUACCACCAACGCAGGCUCCCAGUUCUCUGGGGGUUGACGGUAGGUGGGGAAUAAGGACCGGCUAACUACGUGCCAGCAGCCGCGGUAAUACGUAGGGUCCGAGCGUUGUCCGGAAUUAUUGGGCGUAAAGAGCUCGUAGGCGGCGUGUCGCGUCUGCUGUGAAAGACCGGGGCUUAACUCCGGUUCUGCAGUGGAUACGGGCAUGCUAGAGGUAGGUAGGGGAGACUGGAAUUCCUGGUGUAGCGGUGAAAUGCGCAGAUAUCAGGAGGAACACCGGUGGCGAAGGCGGGUCUCUGGGCCUUACCUGACGCUGAGGAGCGAAAGCAUGGGGAGCGAACAGGAUUAGAUACCCUGGUAGUCCAUGCCGUAAACG
rnacentral:rRNA from 1 species